rfam:Carnobacterium divergens DSM 20623 NODE_19, whole genome shotgun sequence.
UAGAAUGCCUGCCUGUCACGCAGGAGGUCGCGGGUUCGAGUCCCGUCCAGACCG